rnacentral:rRNA from 1 species
GACGAACGCUGGCGGCGUGCUUAACACAUGCAAGUCAAGGGGGCCCAGCAAUGGGCAACCGGCGAACGGGUGCGUAACACGUGAGCAACCUACCGAAAUGUGGGGGAUAGCCGGCCUAACGGCCGAGUAAUACCGCAUACGCUCUCGAUGAGGCAUUUCAUUGAGAGGAAACCUACGGACAUUUCGAGGGCUCGCGGCCUAUCAGCUAGUUGGCGAGGUAACGGCUCACCAAGGCAACGACGGGUAGCUGGUCUGAGAGGAUGGCCAGCCACAUUGGGACUGAGAUACGGCCCAGACUCCUACGGGAGGCAGCAGUGGGGAAUCUUGCGCAAUGGCCUAACGGCUGACGCAGCGACGCCGCGUGUGGGAUGAAGCUCUUCGGAGUGUAAACCACUGUUGCCCGGGACGAAUAGCUCGAUUAAUCGAGCC